rnacentral:ncRNA from 1 species
GUAAAGGGGCAAAGUGAGUUUUAUCCUUGCUAGCGUUUUUUCCUUAGUGCAUGUUGCACAUGUAAGUUUCAGCUAUAAUUGAGUUCUUGAGGGGCUGUAUUUGGUAGGUUAGUCAGUGUUUAGUCUUAAUUUGUUUAGUUAGUUUAAUGUUAGUGAUGUAUUGAAUUCUGGUUAAAUUCGUGCCAGCAGCCGCGGUUAUACGGUGGGGGUAAGGAAAAAUUAUUUUGGGUUUGUGAUUAUAGAUUUGUGGAGAUUGAGACAGGGUUGGCUUGAGAUAGUUGUAUGUUAAGGUGAAAUUGUGUGUUGAUUUAAUGUGUCAGGUUUUAAUUUAUUUAUAUUAAUUAAAGUUGGGGUGUAGACUAGGAUUAGAUACCCUAUUAUUCUAGAUGUAAGUUGUUGUAAUCCAUGAGUAGUAGUAGAUAUUUUCUUUAAACUUAAAGGAUUUGGCGGUAUUUUAGUCUCUUUGGAGGAGUCUGUUCUAUGAUCGAUAAUCCACGUUGUAUUACUUUUUUUGGUUAAGAUGAUUCCGUUUGUAUAUCGCCGUCGUAAGAAGGUUUCUUUUAAGAAUUGUAAUUUUCUAUAUCCUUUAUUAGGGGUUAAGUCAGGUCAAGGUGCAGCUUAUGGGAAAGGAGGUAAUGGACUACAAUAGGUUUUAUUUAUUACGGAUUAUGGACGUGCAAGUCUGUAUGAAGGUGGAUUUAAUUGUAAUUUUUAGGGGUAAAGGAGAUAGGAGCUCUAAAAUAUGUACACAUCGCCCGUCACCCUCAUAGUGGUGAGGUAAGUCGUAACAUAGUAGGUAUACCGGAAGGUGUACCUGGUAAGUC